rnacentral:rRNA from 1 species
UUCCGGUUGAUCCUGCCGGACCUGACUGCUAUCGGAUUGAUACUAAGCCAUGCGAGUCAUUGUAGCAAUACAAGGCAGACGGCUCAGUAACGCGUAGUCAACCUAACCUAUGGACGGGAAUAACCUCGGGAAACUGAGAAUAAUGCCCGAUAGAACACUAUACCUGGAAUGGUUUGUGUUCCAAAUGAUUUAUCGCCGUAGGAUGGGACUGCGGCCUAUCAGUUUGUUGGUGAGGUAAUGGCCCACCAAGACUAUUACAGGUACGGGCUCUGAGAGGAGUAGCCCGGAGAUGGGUACUGAGACACGGACCCAGGCCCUAUGGGGCGCAGCAGGCGAGAAAACUUUGCAAUGUGCGAAAGCACGACAAGGUUAAUCCGAGUGGUUUGUGCUAAACGAACCUUUUGUCGGUCCUAGAAACACCGAUGAAUAAGGGGUGGGCAAGUUCUGGUGUCAGCCGCCGCGGUAAAACCAGCACCUCAAGUGGUCAGGAUGAUUAUUGGGCCUAAAGCAUCCGUAGCCGGCUCUGUAAGUUUUCGGUUAAAUCUGUACGCUCAACGUACAGGCUGCCGGGAAUACUGCAGAGCUAGGGAGUGGGAGAGGUAGACGGUACUCGGUAGGAAGGGGUAAAAUCCACUGAUCUCGGGUAGACCACCAGUGGCGAAGGCGGUCGGCCAGGACACGCCUGACGGUGAGGGACGAAAGCUGGGGGAGCGAACUGGAUUAGAUACCCAGGUAGUCCCAGCUGUAAACGAUGCAGACUUGGUGUGAGGGUAGCUACGGGCUACCCUCGUGCCGAAGGAAAACCAUUAAGUCUGCCGCCUGGGGAGUACGGCCGCAAGGCUGAAACUUAAAGGAAUUGGCGGGGGAGCACCACAAGGCGUGAAGCUUGCGGUUCAAUUGGAUUCAACGCCGGA